GCAUGGCUGAAUUCUGUGCUACCCUUGCUGUGGUAAAUACAGUCAGACACCAUGCUAAAUGAUUGUCUUCACUCACUGACUCUUGCAGGAUCAGAGCACUUCUAUGCCUCAUUCUUCUGUCGGAGUGAAUACAGCA